rnacentral:RNase_P_RNA from 2 species
GAAGUCGGUCGGAUGGCCGCCGGUUCGCCUUUGGCGGACGGGAGGAAAGUCCGGACUCCGCAGGGUAGGGUGCUGGGUAACGCCCAGGGAGGGUGACCUUACGGACAGUGCCACAGAAAAGAUACCGCCCACGUUGUCGUAUCGGCCGCGAGGCCCCGUGGGUAAGGGUGAAAAGGUGCGGUAAGAGCGCACCAGCGGCGUGGCGACAUGUCGGCUUGGCAAACCCCACCCGGAGCAAGGCCAAAUAGAUCCCGCCGCAUUAUGCAGAGGGCGGCCCGCGCUCGUGUCUCUUUUGGGGCAGGCGGGACGGGUAGGCUGCUUGAGCCCGGCGGCAACGUCGGGCCUAGAGGAAUGGUCAUCCGGCCGGGCUGCACGGCCCGGCCGUACAGGAUCCGGCUUAUAGACCGACUUCGGCC